rnacentral:pre_miRNA from 1 species
UCUAACAGAUAAACAAAUAAACUGGUUUACUGAGAUGGAAUCUAUUCCUGGUGAAGAUGCUAUGAC